rnacentral:lncRNA from 1 species
AAGCCCAAGUUGUGGGCGCCUUCCGCCUGCAACCCUAGACGCCUCUCUUUAUAUUCCAUGCAGCUGCCGCUAUCGAGACUUGGGUUUUGUUUAGAGUUUAGUUUUCCAUCGAGAAACUAAACCAUUCAUUAUAACUAUGGUGGCAAAUCAGUAAUCCAGGGCCCCCGUUCUUGAUCUCCUCCACUGUGUCGAUUAGUCAUUUGAAACAGAGUUCUUGAACCCUCUUUUGAUAUUUGUGUCAUUCAUAUUUGCAAUUUAAGAUUGUGUGUUUAUACCUUCCUAUUUGUGUUCUUCGAUUUGCUGGUAGGAAAAGCUUUUUUGGCGAGGUCAAUCAAGUUGUGCUUGGUUGAUAACCAACGGAGCAGUGGUGUAAUGGUUGUAGGGUUCGAAUAAAAUCUGAUUUGAAGCCAGAUCACCAAUGUCGAGAUCUCCACAAAUUAAAUUUACCAAUUAUCUCUCGGAAGAUUGGGCUAGUAUCUCAUCAAAUUGUAUCAGAUAUUUCAGGUUUACCACGAGGUAUAAUCUCGUUUACCUUAUAUUCAUAUUUGUUAAUUACCUAGAGUCCACAAAAGCCCAAAAAACAUUUCAAUUUAUGUUGUCGUAUUAUCCGUUAUGCCUUGCAAUUUUGUUUUUAGAUUUGCUUUGUUGAGUUUGUGUCUGUGGUUGAGUCUAGUUGCUAGUUUUGAUUGUGUUCAUUAUCAUAGUUCAACUUCACUGUUGUUGUUCUUUGUUUCUGCCACUAUCCCAUCCACUGUUCCCAAACAACAAGUCAAAGCCACCAUAUUACUCAACUUGCCCUGCUAGCCGCCUUGUGUGAUCUCUCGCUGCCACGCUAACCCUAGAUAGGUUGCUAGCCGUGGUUAUUUUGCCUGCAUCGCAGCCCUCCUUACAUCAUCAGGUGAAUACCUAUUGUUGUUAGUUACAGUGACGAUUCAUUCUAUGAUCGGUGUUGGAGUUUAGGGACACUUUGCCCUAACUGCCGCCGCCGCCGCCAUGUUGUGCCUUCCGGGAAAACAUAACUUGACAUAUCUUUAGUAAAAUACACAUAACUUUUUGCUCGUUUAUUAGAAAAAUCUGAAAUUUUUAGCAGCUUCUUCACACCAUUUGGAGCCGACCCAAACUGGGCAAAGCCCUAUGUGGUCUCAUCAAAAUUGCCAAAGGAAAUCGGAAAAAUAAAGAAAAAAUUGUCAAGGGUUUUGCACGCUUUUUAGAGAACUUGCUGAAUUUCUAUAGACCAUAUCCCACCUCAGUUGUAGGUGCCAAUUUUUAUGGUUGUUUCAUUUGUGAUCCUAGUUUAGAGAAAAAUAUAAAAAAUAGUGAAAAAAUAAAAAAAAGUUUGAUUUCUACUGGUGCCUUUUGGGAAAAAUCAAAAUCAGGAAAAAGAAAAAAUAUGCACUACGUCCUUUGUUUCACCUUGUUACGCUAUAUCUAGACAUGUCUUAGCCAACAAUUGUGAUUUAUCCUUUGGAUACUUAUUGAACUUAGUUAAAUCUGCAUUUGUUAAUUACUAAUCCUUGACACUCAUAAUGUGCCUUAUCAAAGCUCCACAUAUACUUCUAUCAGCAUAAAUUCAUCUUGCAACUGUUACCCACGCUCAACAACAGAUUGUUUCACCAAUUUGGUUUUACUUCUGUUUGCCUUUGGUAAGAAUACUUGUAAGACGAUGGUAAGCCGCUUGUGAUUUUGCAUUCCACUUUCAGCACCAACACCACUUGGUUCUCUUUAGUUGAUAGGGAUAAUAUUUUGCUGUUGUCUUUUCUUAUUUUCUAAUCAUGGCAGAAUCUCCGAUUGGUUUUAAUGAUUGUGUGUCCAAGGACGAGCACUGAACAACACAAUCUUAUGAAUGAGCUAACGCACAAUAUCAACAAUCUAGUCACCCGCAUUAAAUAGAUUGAGCAACGUCCUCCAUCUCAUUGUGCUGAUGAUGAAGAUGUUG